AAACGGUUUGACCCUUGUGGGCUGGUUCUCCGUCUGCGUCAUUUAACCAGAAUCUUACACCCUCUGGAGGGGCAGACUGAGUAGUUUCAUUGAAGUUCGGUUUAAGAACAUUGAUAACUUAAAUUCACAUAACAAUUUGGUCCUUCGAGCCGGGAUCCAAAAUCUGUCCCUGUCUUCCUAAGGUAACACGCCGAAAACCGUGCACGGGCGGGUCAUUGACUCGAAUCCAACCUACAUUGCUUUUCCCAGCCUACAAGACAAAGUCAGCAGAACAAACACAUGACAGAGAGAGAGAGAGAUCAAAGGAUGUUUCAGCCUGGUGGUGAUUUGCUUGGCAGAGGCUGAAAGGGCUGGGAUGGGCUGGGCAGAGGUAGGUUGGCAGUGUUGUAACUGGUCAAGGGCUGGGCUGUCUAUCUCUCUAUCUAUCUAUCUCUCUCUCUCUCUCUCUCUUUCUCUCUCUCUCUCUCCCUCUGUCUCUUCUCUCUAUCUCUGUCUCCCUCUGUCUCUUCUCUCGCUCUCUCUAUCUCCCUCUCUCUCUCUCCCUAUCUCUCUCUCUUUCUCUCUAUUUCUCUCUCCCUGUCUCUUCUCUCUCUCUCUCUCUCUCCCUCUGUCACUUCUCUCGCUCUCUCUAUCUCCCUCAGCCUCUUCUCUCUAUCUCUCUCCCUCUAUCUCUCGAUACCUCUGUCUCUCUCCCUCCCUCCCUCUCUCUCCCUCUACCGCCCUCUCUCUCUCUCUCUCUCUCUCUCUUUCUAUCCCUCUCUCUGUUUUCUCUCCUCUCUCUUCUCUCUCUUCUCUCUCCGUCCCCCCUCUCUCUCUCUCUCUCUCUUUCUAUCCCUCUCUCUGUUUUCUCUCCUCUCUCUUCUCUCUCUUCUCUCUCCGUCCCCCCUCUCUCUCUCUCUCUCUCUCUUUCUAUCCCUCUCUCUGUUUUCUCUCCUCUCUCUUCUCUCUCUUCUCUCUCCGUCCCCCCUCUCUCUCUCGCUCUCUCUCGAUCUCUAUCUCUCACUCUUUCUCUUCUCUCUCUAUCUCUCUCUGUCUCUCUCUCGCUCCCUGCCUCUCUAUGUCUGUCUCUCUCUCUACCUCCCUCCCUCUCUCUACCACACACUUGUUGUUUGUGUACAUGGAUUUUACAUGGAUUUAACAUGGAUUUUAUAAUGUUGUUUGUUUUUCCCCCAACACCAUUUUCCAUCAAUUUGUAUAGCAGACCCUCAUGCCAAAUUGAUUUUUUUGAAAAAAACAAAGCAUGAGAAGUCUUUUCACGUCCUGACCAGUAAAAGGGGUUAUUUGUUAUUGUAGUUUGGUCAGGGCGUGGCAGGGGGUGUUUGAUUUAUGUGUUUCGGGGGGGUUUUCUAUGUGUUUAUCUAGUUUUUCUAUUUCUAUGUUGGGGUUUUGGAACAACUUCCAAUUAGAGGCAGCUGGAUGUCGUUGUCUCUAAUUGGAGGCCAUAUUUAAGUGGGUUAGUUUUCUCUUGUGUUUGUGGGUGGUUGUUUCCUUCCUUAUGGGAAUGUUUUCGUCGGUUGUUUAGUGGUUUUGUUAUUUUUCCUUCUAAUAAAAAGAAGAUGAGCAUUCUAACCGCUGCAUAAUGAUGAUUUCUCCUCUUCAGACGACAAAGUUUGUGACAUUUUCUUUGUUUGGUAUUUGAUAUUUUAUUAGGAUCCCCAUUAUCUGUUGCAAAAGCAGCAGUUACUCUUCCUGGGCUCCAAAACAAAACAUGAAACAUAAUACAGAAUGAC
rnacentral:lncRNA from 1 species